rnacentral:tRNA from 1 species
GGGGAUUUAGCUCAGCGGCAUAAGCGCCUGCCUUGCAAGCAGGCAGUCGUAAGUUCGAUCCCUGGUACCCA